CUACAGUUCAGGCGGUGUAUUAUUAAAAGAGUUCCCAGUAGGAUUAAGUCGUUUAACCUUCGCCUUCCAAUGGUGUCUUCGACUCUAUAACAACGCACAUGUUACAUAAAUGCAACGUCAAGACGUAAAUAACAUAAGUUAGGAGUGAUAGAAAAAAAGAGAGAGAGAGAGAGAUGGCUUCGAGUUACAGACGUUUUCUAACCCUCUGUAAAAACUGGCCCAUAGACACCAGCAAAGCAGCUGAUAAGGACCUCGCCGUCUUCAUACGCGAGAAUAUAGCUAAAACCUUUAGGCAUGCUGACGCUACACGAAUUGAAGAACCGGCAAAAUGUGAGAAUAUUUAUGAGAGUCUUCAGAGGAUAUCUGCAGACUACCAUCUGAACAAAUACCAGUUGGAUAAGCCUUAUAUAACAGCUUCCUGCAAGGCCACUCGAGAUGAAUGUCAAGCGGUACUAUCCAAGGAAGGCAGCGAUGUCAUCUACGAAAAUGAUACCCAUAUCCUUGAAAAAGUGAAAUCGAAAUUCUGAACAAGGAAACCAAAGGAGACUGUAUGAUCCUAGUAUUCAUUAUAAGGAGACAGAUUAAGGACUUCGUGAGUGUUGUGUUUUUGUGUAUAUUUGCUUCCUAAAACGUACUUUUGCUGUCCUGUACCAGUUGUCGUAUUGUGUUUGCUUACAUAACGUUCCUAUAUUUGCAUUACAUUCCUGUCUUCUACAUACUUGCUUAGCUUGAAAGAAAUAGUAGCCAAUAGCCCUACCUCAAAUCACGAAUUAUCGUCUCAAACAACAAUGAAUGGGAAAAUUUGGUCAAUAAGGUCGGUAAGAAGACCAUGUGGUCUUGGGUUCAAUCCUACUGCACGACAAAGUCUUGUGAGUCGAUUUGGCAGGCGGAAACUGAAAGAAGCUCGUAAUAUAUAUACUGAACAAGGCGGCAAGCAAGCAGGAUCGUUGGAUCUUUUCCUUUUGAACGGCACUUUGUAACAUAAUUUCUAGGUAACUAAAAAGUUUUAAACUUCGUAUACUGGUAGAAUGUGUUUUAAAACAUCAUUUUCUCUUGGCUUUAUUGAGAAAAUUCUAUAGUUUGUAAGAUAUUUCGUCUGAAAUUUCUUGCAUUUCGGCAAUUUUAACCAAUCAAUUACCUUCAUUGACGUAAAUAACAUUCUGUGCAUAAUGAAUAUGUCCCUCCUUUAAGAAACAGAUUAGGUUUAUUUACAUUUGUGAAGAAAAAAAGAUACCCUUCCCCAACCCCUAACACUAACUAACCCUAACUCUAACCCUAAAAUCUAAAAUAGAUUGAAAUGCAAUAGAUCGAUACUAGGGCCAUAAUUAUGGGUGACAUUUUCAUUUGACACCGCUAGAAAAAAAUCCCAUUUUCCGUAGCAGUGUCAUAUGAAAUUGUCACCCAUAAUUAUAACGCUGGUAUCGAUCUAUUGCAUUUUUAGAUUUUAGGGUUAGAGUUAGUGUUAGUUAGGGUUGGUUAGGGGUUGGGGAAGGGUAUCUUUUUUCUUCACAAAUGUAAAUAAACCCAAUCUGUUUCUUAAAGGAGGGACAUAUUCAUUAUGCACAGAAUGUUAUUUACGUCAAUGGAGGUAAUUGAUUGGUUAAAAUUGCCGAAAUGCAAGAAAUUUCCAACGAAAUAUCUUACAAAGGACAGAGCAUCAUGGUAUGGGGCAGCAAGCUGGCAGAAACAUUAGCUACUAACCCCAAAAUUCCGAGUUUGAUUCCAAGCAGUGACCUGAACAAUAAUAAUAAUAACAUUGAAAAAUACUUUAGGAAUGAGAACCCAGGUUCAAAAUUUCCCCACGACUCCUGAAGAAGGCUGGAGGGUUUAUCAGCUGAAAUGUUGUUAACAACAAACAAGAUGAGGACAAAAAUUUCCGUCUAAUGUAAAUAAUGUAAAUAGUGUACAUAAUUCCUCAUCUCUUAAAUAUAGAACUGCUUUGACUUGUAUACCGGAAAAUUGUAUAACCCUUUAGCAUUUAAACCAGCCAUAUCUGGUUCUAUUUGUUUUAUGUUCAAAUCAGCUAGAUUUCAGAAUGGCAUUCUAAAAAUAAACAAUCCCAUCAUUGAAAUCUUCAAGCUACAAAAUAAUGCUUGGUUAAUUGAAAACAAUGUGAAUUAAUGAGUAUUACAUUGUGAAACUGCAUGGUUCAGUGGUUAGAGCGUUGGGUUCACUAUCAUGAGGUAGUGAGUUCAAUUCCUGGACCAGGCUGUGUGUUGAGUUCUUGAGCAAGUCCAGAAGCUGGCUACCCGCAUGGUUCUUGGUCUCAAGAAUUUGUCUUAUGAAGAAAGGCUGAAGACGCUCGACCUUUAUUCUCUAGAAAAACGCCGCCGCCGUGGUGAUCUCAUUCUUGCUCACAACAUCAUAAGUGGAAAGUGUAACCUCUCGAAAGAGCUGUUCUUCACUCCUGCUCCAGAGCGUCGGCUGCGGGGUCAUUCCGUAAAGCUCUAUCUGCGACGAUUUCAUCUCAAUCGAAGGAGAGGGGCUUUCUUCGUCCAGGUUGCAGAUCCGUGGAAUAAGCUGCCGGACGAGAUGGUGAAGAUGCCGACGACCGCUCGGUUCAAAGUCUCCCUUGACCACAACUCUUUAUAUGAACACCACCCUGUACAUAACUCCAUGUCCCCCUACAUGGCUUUGCUUUUUGAGCCAAAAAAUUAACUAACUAACUUUAUUUCAUGUUACUCCAGUUCAUUCAGCUAUGGAAAUGAGUUGUGACAUUACUGGUGCCAAGCUGUAUCGGCCCCUUUGCCUUUCCCUUGGAUAACAUCGGUAUCAUGGAGAAGAGAGGCUGGUAUGCAUGGACAACUGCUGGUCUUCCAUAAACAACCUUGCCUAUAUUUGUGCCUUGGAGGAGAACUUUCUAGGUGCAAUCCCAUGGUCACUCAUGACUGAACAGGGGUCUUUAUCCCUUUUUACAUUUGGCAGAGUAAACUGAAUGCUAAAGGUUAUAAGGGUUCCACAACAAAAUAAUUUGGGAACAGUUGCCCGAGAAAAUGGGUAUUAGUUGUUUCUUUAUUCUUUUAUUCUUUUACUUGUUUCAGUCAUUUGACUGCAGCCAUGCUGGAGCACUGCCUUUCAAUUGAAUGAAUCAACGCCAAGACUUAUUUUUAAAGCCUAGUACUUAUUCUAUCUGUCUCUUUUGCUGAACUGCUAAGUUGCAGGAACGUAAACACACCAACACUGGUUGUCAAGCAGUGAUAGGGGACAAACACAAAGACACACACACGCACAUAGAUAUAUACAUAUAUAUGUAUGAUGGGCUUCUUUCAGUUUCCAUCUACCAAAUCCACUCAAGGCUUUACUUGGCCCAAGGUUAUAGUAGAAGACGCUUUCCCAAGGGGGCCACACAGUAGGAAUGAACUUGGAAUCAUGUGAUUAGGAAGCUAGCUUCUUAUCACACAGCCAACCAUAAAUAUUUUGUUACAUAGUUCUGUGUUACAAGUUCAAAUCUGCUCUGUAAAUUUGACCAAGUUCUUUUUUUUUUUUUUUUUUUUCACAUUUCAGAAGAUUCAACUGGUUGUCGGAACUAUGCCCUUGCAAGAGAAGUCAUUCAUAUGCGUAGUGAGAACACCCUGAUGCACAGAUGUCGUUUCCAACAUUAUGACCACAAAGAAAAUCAUGGAAGACCGUGAAGUGAAAAUCCUUACCUAAGGCCUUCGUCCCUUGAAGUUUUUUUCUUUCUAAACUUAUUUAUUGGCUUUAGUUUGUAUCAAACAAUUAAAUUUUUAUGCCAGAAACCUCAUGAACUAUCCAUGCUUUUUCUAUAUAGAAGCUCCUUCAUUAUGCUCAAAUUUGAUACGUAGAUACUGACGGUAUCAGGACGUGUAUAAGUCUAGAAAAAAUUACAAAAAUCAAUUCCAGGUGAGAAUGCGAUCGAUAAAGUGAAUAAAAUCGUUUUUCUUUGGAACAGAUAAAAA
rnacentral:lncRNA from 1 species